rnacentral:rRNA from 1 species
UACGUAGGGGGCUAGCGUUGUCCGGAAUCAUUGGGCGUAAAGAGCGCGUAGGCGGCCAGAUAAGUCCGGUGUGAAAGUCACAGGCUCAACCUGUGAAUGCCGCUGGAAACUGUCUGGCUAGAGUCCGGGAGGGGCGAGUGGAAUUCCUGGUGUAGCGGUGAAAUGCGCAGAUAUCAGGAGGAACACCAAUGGCGAAGGCAGCUCGCUGGGACGUUACUGACACUGAGGCGCGAAAGCGUGGGGAGCAAACGGG